GGAGAUCGUCGGAGGCAAAAUCACAUUAUCAAACUAUCAUUUUUGGGAGAAUUAAUUCAAAUAUUAGAAAUAUCAAGUGAGUGACAUGUAUAGGAAGUUGGUUGUGAUAUGGUCUAAUUACUAUUUAAGGACCCUCAAUUUAAAAUUUCAUAACAAUUGGACACCUCUAGUAUGUAGAACUCAACUUUUGCACUUUUUACGAUUUAGUCCUUUUGACUAAAUUAAUUGCCCGAAUGUCAAAAUUUUAGAAUAAAAUUUUCACGAAAUUAUUCUGUGAAAUCGUAGACCAUAAAAUAUAAUAAAAAAUAAAAUUUUCAUCGUCGAAUUUGUGGUCCUGAAACCACUGUUCCGACUAGGCCCAAAAUCAAGGUGUUACAGAUAGUACAAAAAAGGAAGUUAUGUAAUGGAUGGAAGCAAAAUUAUGGUCCAUUGGUGAAAGCUAAGUUUGAUGCCAACAAGAAGGACUGUUUAGAGUGGUAACUGAUAUGGAAUGGUGAAAAUGGAUGUGAGUUGAGGAAAGGAAUUAUCAGUAUAUAGUGGACCUAAGUCAAAGGAUAUGUAGUUGUAGAAGUUGGCAAAUUAGUGGGAUUCCAUGUUCCCAUGCAUGUGCUGCCAUGUAUCACUUAGGGCUUCAACCAGAUGAAUAUUUGCAUGAAUAUUAUCACAUUGAUACCUACAUGAAAGCUUACUCUUUUCUAAUGCAGCCCAUAAAUAGGCCACAUUAUUAGGAAAAAACUGGUAUUCAGCAAGUGCUACCUCCUAUUGAAAGGAAGAUGCUUGGAAGGCCCAAAAAGAAUAGGAGGAUGGCCAAAGAUGAACCCAAAAAAUUGAAGCCUGGUCACUUGAGUAGGAAAGGUUUACUCAUGACAUGUACUCAAUGUGGCCAACAUGGCCAUAACAAGCGGUCUUGCACAAAUUCAAAAUAGCAAGAUGUACAACCAACUAAUUAAAAGGGGAAAUCUUCCAUUAAAAGUCUGGUAGAACCAUAAAGAGCAUGACGACAGCUUCAUGCCAAGAUGGUAAUGGACAAACUUCUUCAACACCCAAAUCGCGAAAUAACAAGCGAAAAGGCUCCUCUCGACCACCUGGGAACACAAGAAUCAGUUGCAGGAAACAUGAGACUAUCUCGUGACAGCUCGUGAUCCAAAAAGUACUGUGUAAGGUAUUUUGCUUACAACAUUCUGGUUUUGGAAUAGAAUAUGGUAGUUACAUUUUGAGCUUACAACAUUCUGGUUUUGGAAUACACCAUUGUUGAAUGUUAUUUUGUUGUCUUGAAAACCAAUAUGUUGGUUUUCUUUUUGGUUUAUGUAUAGCUCACUCAUAUUUUGGUUUUUGGCUGCUAUAGCAUUGAUGGUGUAUAGGGUGAAUGGUGUAUAGACUAAUCAUAUGCUUUUGUAAAGUACAUUUAUCGAAAUUGUAAAGUACAUUUAUCCAAAUCAUAUGCUUAAAUGAUCAAA